GCCCAGCACCGGCAGUUGCACUGCACCCUGCAAAAAAAAGAACAAUCGCAAGUUCAGGAUCAGAAAGAUGAGAAGUUCAAGAAGAACAAAAGGGACAACCAUGUUGAUGGCGACUGAAAAAGGAUUCUGAAAUAAUAUUGAGACUAAAGGCCAAGUUUGAUGCACAAUGUCGGAGGAUUCCAAGGCUUUUUCUGAGGCGGUCGAUGGCUUUCCAGAGAUGGGUUCAUAUCUCACAAGUUUCCAGGGGUUCAAGUUCAUCUAUGUAAGAAGGAAUGCCAAUUUUGUUGCACAUUUGUGUGUGAAAAGAGGCAACGAAACUUGUUGUACUUCCUAUUUCUUUUCUUGUAACACCUACCUACCUGAUUGAGACCAUUCUAUCACAGUUAUUUUUGCCUGCCAUGGCCUGGCGCCUCCUCCGUCUCGGCGCCACCAUCACGACCCAGCCUCCAUUAGCUGGUCGCUGCUAGAUGCUGUUGCUGCGGCUUGCCUCACCGUCUAGUUGAUGUUGGUGCACUGCUGCUGUAGUUCAACUAGAGUAGGAGAGAGAGAGAUUUCUUUGAGAGCUUAGCUGCUGCUGCUGUUCUUGGUUUUUGUUUUUGAACUUGUUGCUGACCGAGGUUAAAGAUAAUGAUGUUGCUUUCUACAAAUGUCCCUCUCGUAGAUAUAUCAUUCUCCAUUCUCUUGGAAGCUUCAACAUUUUGAAUGAUCAGAA